AGUACGGUCGCAAGAUUGAAACUCAAAGGAAUUGACGGGGGCCCGCACAAGCAGCGGAGCAUGUGGUUUAAUUCGAAGCAACGCGAAGAACCUUACCUAGACUUGACAUCUCCUGAAUUACUCUGUAAUGGAGGAAGCCACUUCGGUGGCAGGAAGACAGGUGGUGCAUGGUUGUCGUCAGCUCGUGUCGUGAGAUGUUGGGUUAAGUCCCGCAACGAGCGCAACCCUUGCCUUUAGUUGCCAGCAUUAAGUUGGGCACUCUAGAGGGACUGCCGAGGAUAACUCGGAGGAAGGUGGGGAUGACGUCAAAUCAUCAUGCCCCUUAUGCUUAGGGCUACACACGUGCUACAAUGGGUGGUACAGAGGGUUGCCAAGCCGUGAGGUGGAGCUAAUCCCUUAAAGCCAUUCUCAGUUCGGAUUGUAGGCUGAAACUCGCCUACAUGAAGCUGGAGUUACUAGUAAUCGCAGAUCAGAAUGCUGCGGUGAAUGCGUUCCCGGGUCUUGUACACACCGCCCGUCACACCAUGGGAGUUGGGGGCGCCCGAAGCCGGUUAGCUAACCUUUUAGGAAGCGGCCGUCGAAGGUGAAACCAAUGACUGGGGUGAAGUCGUAACAAGGUAGCCGUAUCGGAAGGUGCGGCUGGAUCACCUCCUUUCUAAGGAG
rnacentral:rRNA from 1 species